GCCCUUAUAGCUCAGUGGUAGAGCGUUGCACUUGUACGACAUCAUGCAAUGCAAAGGUCCAUAGUUCAAUCCUGUGUGGGGGCA